AUGCAGCAUCUCCUGGUCCACUACCUGUUCGCCAGGGAUAUUUGGCAUGAGGUCAUGCCUUGGUUCCGUGCCUCCUCCAGGGGGCCUGAUCCUGGCGAGACCCUCAUCGACUGGUGGCUGGAAACCAAGCAGAGAACCUCCAAGGAACGGCGAAAAGGCCUCACUAGUACUGUACUCCUAACAUCUUGGAUGAUCUGGAAGCACAGGGAUGCCUGCACCUUCAGCAAAGCACAACCGAACGAUCGCACCCUUCUCAGUGAUAUCCUUCUUGAAGGUUGUGCCUGGGUCAGAGCCAGAGCCGCCGGGCUGGCUGCUUGCUGGCCAGAGGGUUGGGACAGUUCACUCAUUCCCGAGGGAACCUCCUUUUUGUGCCAUUUUUCCUUCUUUUUUUUCCUUGGCUCCCUUGGGUGCCAAUGUCAAUCCGGUCAUGGGCCAAUUGACUUGUUUGGCCCAUGA
rnacentral:rRNA from 1 species